rnacentral:rRNA from 1 species
CCCUUAGAUGUUCUGGGCCGCACGCGCGCUACACUGAUGCAUUCAACGAGUUUUUCCUGGUCCGAGAGGAAUGGGUAACCUUUUGAAAGUGCAUCGUGCUAGGGAUAGACUAUUGCAAUUAUUGGUCUUCAACGAGGAAUUCCUAGUAGACGUAGUUCAUCAGACUGCAUCGAUUACGUCCCUGCCCUUUGUACACACCGCCCGUCGCACCUACCGAUUGAAUGGUCCGGUGAAGCCUCCGGAUUGGCGCGCACCUCGGUGCCGCCGAGAAGUUGGCUAAACCUUACCAUUUAGAGGAAGGUGAAGUCGUAACA